ensembl:lncRNA
GCCUGAUAGAAAAAUGCUUCGGUUUGCUAGCCAAGUUGAUUUUUUCACUCAAUAUUAUGCUAGUGAGAUUUUCUCUCAUACAUGUAGUUUUAGUUUAUUCAUUUUCGGUGCGAUAUUGCAUUUCAUUGUCUUUGUAUCCUGUUUUCAAAUUCAUUCUUGUACUAAUAGUUAUUUAAAGUUAUUACUUCAGUUUGGCAUCUCAAAAUAUUCUUUUCCUUAUCUUAUCAUUCAUCCUUCCACAUAUGCUCACGUCACUCCCUAGCAGAAGUACGCCACGGCUGGAGUUUGGCACUGCCCAGUUCUAAGUAUGUGAAGGAGGGCCCGCCGGGGGAUGUGCUGCCCCUCCUCUACGCCAUUCAUGGCUGAGGCCAAGAUUACUCAGUUCUUCUCUGGACUCCUUCCCACCUCGGCUCCUAAACCCACAGGCUGAGGAAGUCGUGUGCAGCCACGCUGGUCAUUUCCCAAGCCCCCCGCCCUGUCAGCUUACUGGCAGCCUGUGCCCAGCAUUCCAGGCCAACAUCAGGUUCCAGAGGACUUAAGAGUAUGCACUGCCUCUGCGUGGAUGACCCACAGGGGUAAAUACACCCAGCCACCUGGAGAUAUCUGACUUCCCCAGGCAUCCUAAGUCAGCCACAGGUCUCUCCAACUCAAGCACUCAAACCAAAGUUGAUUGUUGUUAUUAUCUGAUCCACCUUGGAAUAAAAACAAACAGAAGCCAGCUGCUCUCUGGUAAGUGGUGCUCAGGGAUGGCACCGUACAGCCACCCAAGACAGAAGCCUCGGGGCUCCUCCCCGGCUCUCUCCACCUGCCACAUCAGCCAGGGGCGCAGCUCUCCUCUUAACCCUCAGCCCCUGUCCUUGUGGUGUCCCCGUGCGUACACCCAAAGUAUCAUCCUAGGUAAAUGCUCUCUUCCCCAAGCUGGUCUCUCUGCUUCCAUUGUGUGUAUCAUCUGCACCCGUAAGGCAAAGAAAAAGAAAAUAUAAAAAUCAGAUCAUAGCACCUCCCUUACUUAAAACCCUCUGUUGUUUCGCAGUGCAGAGCAAACUACAGGUUGUCUACAGAAGCUGCUGUUUUCUCUAGUGGACAGUGCCUGCAACAACUUCAUUUAAGUCAACGAAUGAGAUCACUAAUCAGAGUAGAACUGAUCAGAUCCAGUGUCCUCCUUAAACUGGUGUCUCCAGCACCAGGCCUUGGCAAGUUAGGUCCUUGUCUCCCUCACCGCUCACACAGCUUCAGGAAGCGGGUCCUUCUAGUGGCCCCAUCUCACAGGCAAUGAAACAAAGGGUCAGAGAGGUGAAGAAGCUUGCUGAAGACACGUAAGUAGCAGAGCCGGCAAAUCAAU